AGAGUUUGAUCAUGGCUCAGAACGUACGCUGGCGGCACGCCUAAUACAUGCAAGUCGAACGAAGUAGCAAUACUUAGUGGCAGACGGGUGAGUAACAUGUAGGUAUCUACCCCAUGGCCUGGAAUAACACGAGGAAACUUGUGCUAAUACUGGAUAAGUCUUUACGGAGAAAGCUUUAUGCACCAUUGGAUGAGCCUGCACUUGAUUAGUUUGUUGGUAGGGUAAUGGCCUACCAAGACUUUGAUCAAUAGCUGAUUUGAGAGGAUGAUCAGCCACAUUGGGACUGAGACACGGCCCAAACUCCUACGGGAGGCAGCAGUGGGGAAUCUUGCACAAUGGAGGAAACUCUGAUGCAGCGAUGCCGCGUGAGUGAAGAAGGCCCUUGGGUUGUAAAGCUCUUUCGUCGGGGAAGAAAAUGACUGUACCCGAAUAAGAAGGUCCGGCUAACUUCGUGCCAGCCGCCGCGGU
rnacentral:rRNA from 1 species